rnacentral:rRNA from 1 species
CGUCCAGACUCCUACGGGAGGCAGCAGUGGGGAAUAUUGCACAAUGGGGGGAACCCUGAUGCAGCGACGCCGCGUGGGUGAAGGAGUAUUUCGGUAUGUAAAGCCCUAUCAGCAGGGAAGAACAAUGACGGUACCUGACUAAGAAGCACCGGCUAAAUACGUGCCAGCAGCCGCGGUAAUACGUAUGGUGCAAGCGUUAUCCGGAUUUACUGGGUGUAAAGGGAGCGCAGGCGGCGCGUUAAGCCUGGUGUGAAAGCCCGCGGCCCAACCGCGGGACUGCUCUUGGAACUGCGCGGCUGGAGUGCAGGAGGGGCAGGCGGAAUUCCUGGUGUAGCGGUGAAAUGCGUAGAUAUCAGGAGGAACACCGGUGGCGAAGGCGGCCUGCUGGACUGCGACUGACGUUGAGGCCCGAAAGCGUGGGGAGCAAACAGGAUUAGAUACCCGAGUAUA